rnacentral:rRNA from 1 species
UACAGAGGGGGCAAGCGUUGUUCGGAAUUACUGGGCGUAAAGGGCGCGUAGGCGGCCCGCUAAGUCGAACGUGAAAUCCCCGAGCUCAACUCGGGAACUGCGUCCGAUACUGGCGGGCUUGAAUCCGGGAGAGGGAUGCGGAAUUCCAGGUGUAGCGGUGAAAUGCGUAGAUAUCUGGAGGAACACCGGUGGCGAAGGCGGCAUCCUGGACCACGACUGACGCUGAGUGAGCGAAAGCCAGGGGAGCAAACGGG